CCUACGGGUGGCAGCAGUGGGGAAUAUUGGACAAUGGGCGAAAGCCUGAUCCAGCCAUGCCGCGUGUGUGAAGAAGGCCUUCGGGUUGUAAAGCACUUUCAGUGGGGAAGAAAGCCUUGGGGCUAAUACCCUCGAGGAAGGACAUCACCCACAGAAGAAGCACCGGCUAACUCCGUGCCAGCAGCCGCGGUAAUACGGAGGGUGCGAGCGUUAAUCGGAAUUACUGGGCGUAAAGCGCGCGUAGGCGGUCUGAUAAGCCGGUUGUGAAAGCCCCGGGCUCAACCUGGGAACGGCAUCCGGAACUGUCAGGCUAGAGUGCAGGAGAGGAAGGUAGAAUUCCCGGUGUAGCGGUGAAAUGCGUAGAGAUCGGGAGGAAUACCAGUGGCGAAGGCGGCCUUCUGGACUGACACUGACGCUGAGGGGCGAAAGCGUGGGUAGCAAACAGGAUUUAGAUACCCCGGUAGUC
rnacentral:rRNA from 1 species